GUCCUACACAGCAAGCCAGCCAGCCACCACCAAUCAUGGCCGGGCCCCGGAGCCGCCUCCUGCUCGGCUUCCUGGCCCUCUUCCUGGCAGUAUCCAGCUUCAUCAUGGGGCAGAAGGUGAGUGUGAGCUUGUCGCAGGCGGCUGUGCUGGACAGAGGGCUGGGCUCUUGUGCCCACCUCCUCAGGCUGAGGUCUGUGUCUCGCCACUUGGGGUGGCAAGGAUGUGUCAGCCUGCCCUCCUCUGUGUCCGGCUAGCCAGCCAGGUGAUAUGGGGGCAGCCAUCCCAGAGCUCCCCAGCCCAAGGACAGGGUAAGGUACAGAGCCAGGUCCAUCUCCCUGCCCACACUGCAGUCCAGGUCACCCUGGCUGGAGAUAGGAGAUGUGGUCACCCCAGCCCUCACAGGACUGACAAAUCAAGAGGCUCAUGUGGACACUGGGUGGGCAUGCUACAUGUGUGUGUGCAUGUGUGCCUGUGUCCUGCCCCAAGGGUGCCCAGAGGAGGCAGGGGUCCACUCACCCCCAGGCCCUCUGGGCAAACAAGAGCCAGCAAUAAUGCCCUCGAGCCCAAGAGCUGCUAUUUACCAAGCGCACAGCUGGGCACACCUGACAUUAUCCCCUGAAAUCAUUCUGGCCCCUGAGAAUGGGGCCCUAUUGUUCUCUGCCUGAAGAAGCCAAGGCCCAAGGAUGAUAGGGGCAAGUCGUUUCCACUCUGGAGCCACGCUCUGGACCACUGUCUGCAGUUCCCCAUUGGCCACAAGGGAGGCCUGGACAGGGUCUGGGUGUGCGGCUCUCAGGUCCAUGUAAGCCAGCCCCCUCCAGUCUGCCUGGAUCUGCCUGCAGAUCCACCCAGGUCCCACAGUAGGGUCACUGUCCCAACUGGAGUUUCUGGAGGAGCCUCCCAUCCAAGGUUUGGACUCACUAUCACCAGGCUGGGUCCUGCCUCCACCUGAAGGAUCCUCUCCUUUAAGGCCAAGUUCAUCUGAUACUCUGGGCAGCUGCUACUGUCCCCACAUUGCUGGUGGUGGACUGAGGUCCAGAGAAGGAAAGGACUUGCCCAGGAUCCCACUACCAGGCAGAACAAACACAGGGACUCAGGCCGUGUGCCACCAUUGGGUGCUGUCUCAUCCUCCUUAUGGUCCCUCAGGGAAGGGGCAGGGACAAGGCCCUUACCAGAAUUUCAGGGCCAGGUCAGGGUUGGGGACGGGCAGCUCUGAGGCUGAAAAAGUGGCAGUGAUGGUGGAAUAGCCGAAGGCUUCAGGCUGUGCUAAGCCCUGCAGGUGGUUUCUGCUCCCUCCCUGCCUCAGUUUUGUCAUAGGUACAAUGCAAGGGAAUUUCGAAGGCCACCUCCUCAUGUUCUGGUCAGGGAUUUGUUGUUGUUGGAGACCUUUGGCUCUGACCACCUAAGUCUGCAUUCUGGGGCUGGGACUCAUCCAGCCUGGGCCAGAGAAGAGGGUCCCAGGUCCCUGUCAGGGACACAGCAACACCAGGCUCCCCUCACAACCCCUCAGUCCCUCAGCACUCCCAGCACCUUGUGUCAGGUGAGACCCACUGGAAACAUUAGGAAACUAAGGCUCUGAGGGAAGGGGAUGACUGCUGGGUCCCACAGCCAGUGAAGAGCAGGACCCAUACACAGGACAUUUCAGGGAGUAUAAGCAGGGAAGGCUUCCUGGAGGAGGGGUACUUAACACCUGUCCAUUCAACAGUCUUUCACCAGGCACCUCCUCUGCUAGGUGUGAGCUGCUGCUUAUGGAGCCUGUGGUCUCAAGCUGAGGUUUGAAGGGAGAGGGGCAUUGAUCCAGGGCAAGGGGAAGUAGUUUGGGGGUCCCUUCCUCUCUGAGGAAGUAUGGGUUCUGGACCCCAGCUUGGGAGAAUUUCUUCCACCUUCUCACAACAGGUUUAACAUUUUGUGCCUCGUCAACUUCCCCAGCAGUGUCUCUGUGGGGAGCUGGUGUUGUAAAGUCAAUUCUGAAUUAGGGCAGGGAGUGGGCAGCAACCCCCUGGCUCAGACAGUUCCCAAGGUGCCUUAGGGAAAGUGGAGAUCUGAUUCAGCCCUUGGUCGGGAUCCAGGCUUAAUCCACCCAGUGGGACUAGCUGUGAGGUUGUGGGCUGGGCCUGGUGCUCUUAGGCCACCAGGCAAAGGGGCCUGAGUGCCCACUUCCAGGGAGGUCCCCAGAGAGGAAUACAAUUUGGCCACUCAUUGUGCAGCCGUCUUGUGCACUUUGCAGGUGCAGCACCUUGUGAACGUCCACCCCACCACAGGGCACAAGGCUACAACUUCCUCCCAUGCCCUUAACUCACCCACGACUUGAUGGAACUCCCCGACUCUGCCCAAGAGUGAGGACAGGGCUCUCUCACUGCCUCGAGCCCUUAUCCAAGUCUGACCAAUAUUCCUCUGAGAGCUGGUCCCCGGGCCACUAGUGAUGGCACUGGCAGCUCUGGCUGGCUGGCCAGGUGGUCCUCAGGGGAGCCGGCUGAAGCUUUGCUCUAAGCCAGCAGCUGCCUGGCCCUGGAGU
rnacentral:lncRNA from 1 species